rnacentral:lncRNA from 10 species
CCGGUCUCCGGCGGAGACGGACUCUGGAGUUUGGGCGGCCCGGGCGGCCACUAGGUACUCUGAUAUUCCGUACUAAACACGUCUGCAAGUCAAGAUGUCGCACCCGUCCCCCCAAGCCAAGCCCUCCAACCCCAGUAACCCUCGAGUCUUCUUUGACGUGGACAUCGGAGGGGAGCGAGUUGGUCGAAUUGUCUUAGAAUUGUUUGCAGAUAUCGUACCCAAAACUGCGGAAAAUUUUCGUGCACUGUGUACAGGAGAAAAAGGCAUUGGACACACGACUGGGAAACCUCUCCAUUUCAAAGGAUGCCCUUUUCAUCGAAGUAUGUGUAAAUUUUCUUAAUCUUGUUAUUCUUCAUACAGACAAGUCCUGUUCUUUAGGAUUUGGGGAAGAAAACACUAAGUAGGAAGUGAAGCUUAAAAAGUACUAUUAGCGUCCAUGUCUGAGGCAGUAACGCAGUUUCGUAAAGGUUAGGCUGUGCGAGGUGGAAUUACUUAUGGUACUAAGGUUUAUCUAUAGAGAAAUGGACUCCCCUAGCUUUACCCAUCCUCUCAUUCUCCUUCACUCUAAGAUGAUUUGAUUGAGAAAGGAAGGCCGUAGUCAACCAACCUUAGGUAGCUUCAUUGCCUGGUGACAAAAAAGUUAUGCAUAGACCGGGCGCAGUGGCUCACGCCUGUAAUCCCAGCACUUUGGGAGGCUGAGGCGGGUGAAUCACGAGAUCAGGAGAUCGAGACCAUCUUGGCUAACGCGGUGAAACCCCGUCUCUACUAAAAAUACAAAAAAUAAGCCGGGUGUGAUGGUGGGCGCCUGUAGUCCCAGCUACUCGGGAGGCUGAGGCAGUAGAAUGGCAUGAACUCAGAAGGUGGAGCUUGCAGUGAGCCGAGAUCACGCCACUGCACUCCAUCCUGGGCGACAGAGUGAGACUCUGCCUCAAACAAACAAACAAAC